UGGCAGUUCCUUGGAGAAACUAGGGGUGAUUCUAUCAUAAAAAGGGGUGGGGGAGAGUAGAUCAGGCAGACACAAUCACUGAAGGAGGAGAGUACAGGAGAUUUAGAGGAAGAAGAUCUGUGAAGAGGUUUGGGAGGAGUUAAGAAGGGAAAGCAAUCAGUCAUUUUUCCAAAGGCCAGUCUGCAGGGCUGGGACUGAGCACAGGCUGAAAUCAAGGUUGGACUACCUCUCAGCCCUUCUCAAGCCCUCCAGGCCUAGCAGUCUCCAUCUGAUCCUGUAUUGGAAAUGGGCAUGGAAGAUGCCACAACUUCUCAAGCUUUCCCUAGGAAAAGGGGUGGGUGAACUUCUGGCCUGAAGAAUCUGAGGAUGGAAGGUCAACUUUGCUCUUCUCCUGGGUUCUGGAACCAGACCUUCCUAACCUGCUCUGCUCACCUGGAGCCCCAGCCCACUGUCACCCAUGCCCUCAUCUCCAGACUCUUCUUCCAGCAACUAGGCUUGCAAAGCAGGGAUGGUGGCUUGGAGCACCAGCUUCCGUGUCAAGCAGGGCAGGCUGCACUCCCAGCGCCCUGGUGCCUCUGGCUCUCGAGGCUUGUUCCUCAUCUCUAGCUCCCUCACAGAGUUGUCCUGAGGCUCACAAUGGGAACACAUCAAUAAAUUACCUAUUGCAUUAAAAUGAGUUGUUAUUAUUGGCACAAUUGUUAUUGACGCUUAAGCCUGAAGGCAAAUAAAUGAUUUUUAGCUGCAAAA